GACGAACGCUGGCGGCGUGCUUAACACAUGCAAGUCGAACGGUAAGGCCCUGCUUUUGUGGGGUGCUCGAGUGGCGAACGGGUGAGUAACACGUGAGUAACCUGCCCUUGACUUUGGGAUAACUUCAGGAAACUGGGGCUAAUACCGGAUAGGAGCUCCUGAUGCAUGGUGGGGGAUGGUAAGUUUCGGCGGUUGGGGAUGGACGCGCGGCAUAUCAGCUUGUUGGUGAGGUAGUGGCUUACCAAGGCGUGGACGGGAAGCCGGCCUGCGAGGGUGACCGGCCACAUUGGGACUGAGAUACGGCCCAGACUCCUACGGGAGGCAGAAGUGGGGAAUAUUGCACAAUGGGCGGAAGCCUGAUGCAGCAACGCCGCGUGCGGGAUGACGGCCUUCGGGUUGUAAACCUCUUGCGCCUGGGACGAAGCGUGAGUGACGGUAAUGGGUAAAAAAGCGCCGGCUAACUACGUG
rnacentral:rRNA from 1 species